UAGGGAAUCUUCCACAAUGGGCGAAAAGCCUGAUGGAGCAACGCCGCGUGUGUGAUGAAGGGUUUUCGGCUCGUAAAACACUGUUGUAAGAGAAGAAUGACAUUGAGAGUAACUGUUCAAUGUGUGACGGUUAUCUUACCAGAAAGGAACGGCUAAAUACGUGCCAG
rnacentral:rRNA from 1 species